rnacentral:rRNA from 1 species
UACGGAGGGUGCGAGCGUUGUCCGGAAUCACUGGGCGUAAAGGGCGCGUAGGCGGCCUGAUAAGUAGGGGGUGAAAUCCUGCGGCUUAACCGCAGGGCUGCCUUCUAAACUGUCAGGCUAGAGCACAGUAGAGGCAGGUGGAAUUCCCGGUGUAGCGGUGGAAUGCGUAGAGAUCGGGAAGAACAUCAGUGGCGAAGGCGGCCUGCUGGGGCAGUUGCUGACACUGAGGGCGCGACAGCGUGGGGGAGCAAACAGG